rnacentral:rRNA from 1 species
UACGUAGGGUGCGAGCGUUAAUCGGAAUUACUGGGCGUAAAGCGUGCGCAGGCGGUUCUCCAAGUCCGUUGUGAAAGCCCCGGGCUCAACCUGGGAAUGGCAGUGGAAACUAGGGGACUGGAAUCUGGCAGAGGGGGGUGGAAUGCCGCGUGUAGCAGUGAAAUGCGUAGAGAUGCGGCGGAACACCGAUGGCGAAGGCAGCCUCCUGGGCUGAGAUUGACGCUCAGGCACGAAAGCGUGGGGAGCAAACAGG